UACGUAGGUGGCAAGCGUUGUCCGGAUUUACUGGGCGUAAAGAGCGCGCAGGCGGUCGUUCAAGUCGCGUGUGAAAGCCCCCGGCUCAACUGGGGAGGGUCACGCGAUACUGAUCGACUCGAAGGCAGGAGAGGGAAGUGGAAUUCCCGGUGUAGUGGUGAAAUGCGUAGAUAUCGGGAGGAACACCAGUGGCGAAGGCGACUUCCUGGACCAAUACUGACGAUCAGGUGCGAAAGCGUGGGGAGCAAACAGG
rnacentral:rRNA from 1 species